GAUGAACGCUGGCGGCGUGCCUAAUACAUGCAAGUCGAGCGAACAGACGAGGAGCUUGCUCCUCUGACGUUAGCGGCGGACGGGUGAGUAACACGUGGAUAACCUACCUAUAAGACUGGGAUAACUUCGGGAAACCGGAGCUAAUACCGGAUAAUAUAUUGAACCGCAUGGUUCAAUAGUGAAAGACGGUUUUGCUGUCACUUAUAGAUGGAUCCGCGCCGCAUUAGCUAGUUGGUAAGGUAACGGCUUACCAGGGCAACGAUGCGUAGCCGACCUGAGAGGGUGAUCGGCCACACUGGAACUGAGACACGGUCCAGACUCCUACGGGAGGCAGCAGUAGGGAAUCUUCCGCAAUGGGCGAAAGCCUGACGGAGCAACGCCGCGUGAGUGAUGAAGGUCUCGGAUCGUAAAACUCUGUUAUUAGGGAAGAACAAAUGUGUAAGUAACUAUGCACGUCUUGACGGUACCUAAUCAGAAAGCCACGGCUAACUACGUG
rnacentral:rRNA from 1 species